rfam:Triticum aestivum genome assembly, contig: Triticum_aestivum_CS42_TGACv1_scaffold_376022_5AL
GAAGUACUCCCUCCGUCCGAAAAUAGUUGUCAUCAAAAUGGAUGAAAAGAGAUGUAUCUAGAACUAAAAUACAUCUAGAUACAUUCCCUUUUAUUCUUUUUGAUGACAACUAUUUUCGGACGGAGGGAGUACUUG